AAUGACACGAAACACAAGAUACUGACUUUGCGACAAUUUACACAUAAAGGGAGCUUUAGAAUAUUUAAUUCUUUGUAGUAUUAAAUCUUCUAGAUCAUAUCAAAUAAUCUAGAUUUUAUUAUCUAAGUUAUAAAGGUGAAGUCAAUUAUUCACAUCUUUGUGAAUUCAUGGAUGCACCAAGGAUCAUAAUGCCAUAAGGCAUGUGAGCAACAUCGGAAGGCAGAACGAAAAAUUUAUGGGAGUGCGGUUCUUUGGAAGUAUGUAUCAGGAUUCAAUUGGUAAGGAGCUGGCAGGCACAGUCAUGGCUCAAUGG
rnacentral:lncRNA from 1 species